CGGCGUAAAGGGUUCUAACAUGCGCCGUAGGGGGCCAUGCUAAAGAGCAGAGAACGAGGGUGGUGAUGACUGAUGAGGGGGCGGUGUGGGUUUAAAUGUCAAACCGAGAGAAGAGGAUUUAGAGAAGCGGGUGGGGAUGAAGGCACGUGACGGGCGGGUGGCGCCUCGUACUGAAUGAUAGUGCCACUGAAGGGCGAUGGCUGAGGUUUAGGCAGGUGCAGGAAUGAAUGCCGGCAGUGAAUGCAGGGAUUUCUGCCACUGGGAUCCUC
rnacentral:lncRNA from 1 species